UUUAAACAACGAAUAGUCGGUGAAGGAGCAUUGGAUCCUAGUAAGUACUAAGUUUUUUUUUUUUUAAUUUUAAUAAGUAUUUAACAAUAUGUGUAUCUAAUUUUUUCCUUAUAUAUAAUCUCUUGGUGGCAAACACAUGGAUCUUCGGCCCCUACGCUUCAACAAUAUGCAACAGCAAUACGCAUAUUAGGCCUUUGUUGCUCCGCUUCCGGUUGUGAGCGCAAUUGGAGCACAUUUGAUUUUAUUCACACCAAGAAGAGGAAUAGACUAGAACAUCAGCGCUUGAAUGAUCUAGUCUAUAUCCAAUACAAUCGUCGGCUUCAUUCAAGGUUCCAAGAAAGAAGGGAAAAAGGCAGCAAUUGUGAUCCAUUAAUUCUUGAUGAAAUGAAUUGGAGUAGUGAAUGGAUAACAGGGAAUCAAGAAGAUGGAGAUUUAGUCCAUCCUGGAGACGACCUCACAUGGGGAGAUGUUGAUAGAGUAGUUGGUGCAUCUAAAUCGGUGGGGGGUCGUAAUUUACCUAGGAGGGCUCAAGGAUCAACAAGUGCAGCCAAUAUUUGCUACACACGUCGUGGUAGGGGAAGGGCCACUAUUGAGGAAUCAUCAGAUGAUGAAGUUGAAGAAGAGGUCCACGAUGUGGUGCGUGAUGAUGAAGAUAUUGAAGAAGACUUUGGUGAUGGGCCAACUGAUUCUAUGAAUCAACAACAGGAGGGAGAAGAAUUAGAUGUUGAUUUGUUAGCUUGAUUAUGGUUAAACAAGAACAAAGUUUAGCUUGAUGGUUUAUUUUGUUGUUUUAAAAUUUAUACUUUAAAGCUUACUAAAGUUUAGUAUUUUGGUUUAUUUUUAUGUUUCUUAAUUUCCAUUAGGUGUUUUUAA